rnacentral:rRNA from 1 species
GACGAACGCUGGCGGCGUGCCUAAUACAUGCAAGUCGAACGAACCGCGACUAGGUGCUUGCACUUGGUCAAGGUGAGUGGCGAACGGGUGAGUAACACGUGGGUAACAUACCUCAUAGUGGGGGAUAACAGUCGGCAACGACUGCUAAUACCGCAUAGGACAUAGGAUCACAUGAUCCAGUGAGGAAAGGUGGCGCAAGCUAUCGCUAAGAGAUGGACCCGCGGUGCAUUAGCUAGUUGGUAGGGUAAAGGCCUACCAAGGCGAUGAUGCAUAGCCGACCUGAGAGGGUGAUCGGCCACAUUGGGACUGAGACACGGCCCAAACUCCUACGGGAGGCAGCAGUAGGGAAUCUUCCGCAAUGGACGCAAGUCUGACGGAGCAACGCCGCGUGAGUGAAGAAGGUCUUCGGAUCGUAAAGCUCUGUUGUUAGAGAAGAACAGCGCAUAGAGUAACUGUUAUGCGUGUGACGGUAUCUAACCAGAAAGCCACGGCUAACUACGUG